rnacentral:lncRNA from 1 species
AUGAGACUUGAAUUACAUGUUUGUGCUGCUUUAUUAUGGCAAAUCCAAAUGAUGGGACCAAUGUUGUGUUCAAUCAUUUUAGCGGUGACAUUGACAACAACUGAACAAACUCCUAAACAGGAUUUUCAGGGACGUUCAAGAGAGCUUAAAGUGGGAAGUGAAGCUGAUAAGCCUUUUGCUGGAACCACUGACAAACCAGCUACGCAGAGACAGGGGACCAAAGAGCAGCUCGCAGCACAGACCUCAGCAGUGACCUUGAAAGUUGAAGCUGAGAAGCAAGACACCCUAACGAAAAUUGAAGGUAUGUGCUGGUGUUCUUGACUACUAAAGAGUUGUCACAGGAGUCUUGUAUGAAUGCAGGACUUACGUCUACAAAUAUGAAAGACGCUGAAUAAUUCAGUUUCAAAUCUUUGGUCCCGUCACAACCUUCUCAACUCCCAGCAGAGACAAAAGGGGUUAAAUGGGCAACACAACAGGCGGCUGGGGGUCUGUGAACAUUACAAAAACCUCUGUAGUUUGCAGCCCAGUUAAUGUUGAGCAGAAGGAUAAACACCUCAAGCUUUGAAAAUCUGCAAAUGCAAAGCACAAUCCUUACUUAGCAUCACAGAAAAUAACAUUAAAUGUUUGAGCUUAAAAUGAACUACAUACUUGGAUAUGUUUCAUAUUUACUGAUAUUAGUCAUUAAA